ACUCUGGAAACAAAGGACAUGAGCCACUUUGCAGAAUUUACAGUGGUUUUAUGGAUUACAUUUCAAAUUAGAAGAAAUCUGCCCUGGGAUGGGCCUGCUGGCAAAGCUGGGGGCUCCUCCACCAGUGGUGAAGUAACCAAAGCUGGAAGCAAUUCCUGAAGUAUUCAUGGGCUGGUGGCUCACAGGGACUUUGCUGUGAGACAUCAGACUCUAAUCAGUGAGUUCUGGAGAUGCACGUGGCCACAUGGACCAUCUGGAACAGGGUCUGUUGGUAGGAGCUCGUCUGUCCCCCACCACGUUGAUGGUCCCCUCUGCUGGAGAGGAGGCAGCACCUGCUGGAUGGUUUGUUCCCAGAGGAGGUGUGGGAUGAAGCCCAGGCUGGGGAGCCUCCCCGUGGAAGCAGGGAUGUGGUUUCUGGAGGAGCAGCAGCUGAUGGUUGGCACACCCAGCAGCUCUGGAGCUCCCCACCAGCACCUGGGCCACGGCCCAGCUGUGGCCAUAGGGUGGCUGUUGGGUGUCUGAUGAGGGGACACCACAGGGAAAGGUGGAAGAAAGACAGUCGGGUGAGUCCUGGAUCUGCCCCCAGGAUCACAGCCACGUGUUUUGGAUCGGGUGAAGAUGAAGAUCUUCGUUUUGGCAUUUCUUGUGUGUUCUGCAGCCAGAGCCCAGCCCGUGUCAGCUCUGCCUGGCAGCCUGGGAAGCCUGCUGUGCUGGGCUGUGUUUUUAGGUCGUUUCCAGAGAAGUGGAUUCAUUUCCAGGGAAGCAGCUGCCUGCCUGGGCGCUCUGCUGUGCCCUGGAGGGGAUGAAGGGCAGUUCCCACCUCACAUCCAUUUACUGCUGGAGGUUUUGACCUUGCUCCCCUGUUUGUCACUGCUUGAUUUAUCUUCACUGACACUUGGACUCUGACCCUACCAAGAACAUUAUCAGACUGUCUCUGGAUUUCAGUGGCCAAAUGCUUAAAAGAAGGGCCCUCAGCAAGGGCUUCCUCUGCCUGACACAAAAUAAAGACCAAGCUGCACUGAAACGACUCAUCCCACCCCAAUCCCUCUCCUCAGGAGGUCUCAGCCCUCCCUGGAGCCACCUGGUUCAUUAGAAAUUUGGUUUCUGAAUGUGUUAGCAAUGCAGACCUUGUGUUCCACAGGCAUGUGGGGGCAUUGUGGACUGAAUGUGUAAAUUAUAUCUUACUAAGUUAUUCUUCUGAGCUUGUCAGUGUUUUUGAAGGAGGUUUGAAACGGGCCGGUUUUGUCUCCCACCAUUGGGUCCUCCCUUCACUAACUGCAACUCCAAGUAGAUUUUUUUGGCCUAAAAUACAGUAUUAUUCCAUGGUCAGAUAUUAUUUAGAAAAUAUUUAUUAAGUAACAUCUGCUGCACUGAAACAUUAAAUUAAGAGGGAGAAACAGGUGUUUAAAGAAAACAGAUACUGGGGAAAAAAAUCUUUGACAAUACCUAUUUUAAUUCAGAUUUCAAAUUUAAAUUUCCUUAAAGUUGUUGGCAGGAUUAAUUUCUCCUUUGUACACGUAACAUACAUAUUCAUCAAUGCCAUUACACCAUGUUUGCAAGCUGAAUAUUACAGUGGAAUGCAGCAAAAGCCAAAUUUUAGAUAUGAAACUGGAGGAGACCCCAUUUCAUACUGCAUAAAAUGCACCUCUGGAAUUUUCAGUUCUUCUUUUCUGCAGUGCUACACACGCCUUCAGCAAGUGUCAGGGCUGAUGAGCUUAAAAGAAAAAAAAAAAAGAGAGAAAAGAAAAAAAAACAACCCAACCCUGUGGCUUUGGAGAUACUCACUUCAAGCUUGUGGUUGCAAUUUCCCAGGCUGCUCCGAGAUUCCCUACAGCCUUCCAACUCGGGAAUCUCCAGCCACACAGGGAUGUGUGAAUUCCCCCCUUGGCUUCACUCCCUCCCAGCUCCUGUCCUGCCUGCAAAGCAUCCUGUGCCUGCUCCUGUGCCCGUGGGUGCCCCCCAAGGAGCCUGUACCUGAAGUGGUGUCGAUCUCCCCGUCCUGCUCCUUGCAGCUGUAGGUGCUGCCCAUGCUCUGCGAGCCCGGCUCGUUGGUGAGGAAGCCUUUGCCCCCAACACUGGUGGUGUGCCAGUCCUGGGCGGGCUCCAGCUGCCAGGGAACAAGGAGAUGAUGGUUAAAACCCCUCCCUUCCUCCUCCCAGGGCAACAUUUCAUUCCUCUCUCUUCGUUAGGAGACAGGCUUCCUCAUUAAAGAAGGCUCCUGGAUUGCACAAGUGUAUGUUCAGCUCAUCUAGGACUGGAUCAAAUAGCUGCUUCCCUUCCUCUCUUGGUGCAAACAGCAGCUUUGGCCAAUGUGAUUCUGACCAGAAGGGCUGGUUUUACCUUAAAUAUCUCUGAAUUAAUUUCCUCUUCAUCUUCGUCUGUGACUGUUUUGUAGACUUUGGUGGAGAAUCUCUUUUGAAAGUUGCCCAAAAGAUCCUGCAGGAAUCCUGAGAAAAAUGGCCCAGCUUCAGGAUCCUCUGGGGAUGGCUAUGGAAACUUCCAAGAAAGAGACCUGGGUCACUAAGCCUAGUGAUCCUGCCCUGUGCUGCACGUACAGGGAUGUGCCUUCCCCACCAAAAAGAGACAAAUCCAGAGUUUCUUUCAGGCCAAAUCUUAAAAAACUGGGAGCAACUGGGAGUGCAGCAGUAGCUACCCAACUGGGACAGGAGGUGACAUGGCUCAAGUGAGCAGCAGGAGUUAAAAGAGAACUUGGAGUUAUCUUGGUUCUCCAUCAUGUCCAGGCUGCUUUAAUUUAUCGUUUCCCUCGUACAAGGUUUCCCAGGAAAACAAAAUUGGAACCACUACAUUCUGUACCAACCAGGGGUACCUUUCCUGGAAGCAAAACCAGCUGGUUUUUAAACCAGGUUUUGCCUUUCCUUUAUGAUCUUGACUCACAUUUGGUGUCAUCUAAGAACUGGUUCAUGAUACAGAAGUCACAGUAAUAAUGAUAAUAAUAGUAAUAAACCACC